GUAGUCCAUGCUGUAAACGUUGGGCACUAGGUGUGGGGGCUGGUUUCAUGGUUUCCGCGCCGUAGCUAACGCAUUAAGUGCCCCGCCUGGGGAGUACGGCCGCAAGGCUAAAACUCAAAGGAAUUGACGGGGGCCCGCACAAGCGGCGGAGCAUGCGGAUUAAUUCGAUGCAACGCGAAGAACCUUACCAAGGCUUGACAUGCACCGCGAGACUGCAGAGAUGUGGUUGCCUUCGGGGUGGUGUGCAGGUGGUGCAUGGUUGUCGUCAGCUCGUGUCGUGAGAUGUUGGGUUAAGUCCCGCAACGAGCGCAACCCUUGUCUCAUGUUGCCAGCACGUUAUGGUGGGGACUCGUGAGAGACUGCCGGGGUUAACUCGGA
rnacentral:rRNA from 1 species